GCGGAGGAAAAGAAAAUAACAAUGAUUUCCCUAGUAACGGCGAGUGAAGAGGAAAGAGCUCAAAGUUGGAACCUGUUUGGCUUAGCUAAACCGGAUUGUAAACUGUAGACGUGUUUUCCAGGUACGCCAGAUAAAUAAGUCCUUUGGAACAGGGCAUCAUAGAGGGUGAGAAUCCCGUCUUUGGUCUGAGCAGUUGCCUAUUGUGAUACGCGUUCAAAGAGUCAGGUUGUUUGGGAAUGCAGCCUAAAUUGGGUGGUAAAUCUCACCUAAAGCUAAAUAUUUGCGAGAGACCGAUAGCGAACAAGUACCGUGAGGGAAAGAUGAAAAGAACUUUGAAAAGAGAGUUAAACAGUAUGUGAAAUUGUUAAAAGGGAACCGUUUGGAGCCAGACUGGCUUGACUGUAAUCAAUCUAGAUCCUUCUGGAUGCACUUGCAGUCUAUGCCUGCCAAUAACAAUUUGAUUUGAGGGAAAAAACUGAGAGGAAUGUGGCCCUUCGGGGUGUUAUAGCCUUUUGGAAAAUACCUUGGGUUGGAUUGAGGAUCGCAGUGAAUGCCUUUAGGCAAGGUUGCUGCGUGCUUUCGCUGAUAGAUGCUAGAAUUUCUGCUUCAGGUGGUGCUAGUGUUUAAAGGUGGAACUCGCGUGGUAUAUCUUUUAUUCGCUUAGGUUAUUGGCUUAAUGACUCUAAAUGAC
rnacentral:rRNA from 1 species